AGAGAGACAGGGUUUCACCAGGUUGGCCAGGCUGGUCUUGGACUCCUGACCUCAAGUGAUCUGCCCGCCUCAGCCUCCCAAAGUGCUGGGAUUACUGGUGUGGGCCACUGCAUCUGGCUCCCACCAUCUCUAUUAAAAUAAGAUAAAAUAAACAUAAAAUAAUGAACCGACAAAAUAAUAAUACAAUUCAUUGUAAGUAAAAUGCUAUCCUGAGUUCUGUGAGUCAUUCUGGAUAAUUCAAAUUCUCUAGAAUUACCACCUCAGCUGACUUUUUUUUUUUUUUUUUGUAGAGACCAGGCUGGUCUUGAAUUCUUGAGCUCAAGUGAUCCGCUUCCCUCAGUCUCCCAAAGUGCUGGAAUUACAUGUGUGAGCCACUGAGCCUGGCCUACAAAUUCUUUAUUAUACAACACACAGUAGAUGCUCAAUAAAUAUUUGCUAAGCAGAAACAUACACUCAAAAUACCAGAAAUUAUCAAGGAAGUUGCCAGUUGGUCUCUUGGGUUCUUCCUCCCGACAGGUAUACACACCUAUUGUAAAGAUGAACACAUUAGGCUGUGAGAAACCAAUACUGUUAAACAUUCCAAUCAGGUGACAAACUCCCUGGGCUCUGGUUUAUAUUACCAAGCAACCUGAUGAUAACUUGGCUUCCUGUGUGGCUUGUUUAUAGAAAGAGAAUGCUACCCAGGCUGACGUGAGUUGCAUUUCUGAGUUGAUUUCUCACUGUAAAUUAAUAAACUGGCAUUCUGGCUACAUAGAUCAGUCUCUUUGAACUCUUUGUACCUUCCACCAUUAGUGUGAUUUCUAAGGCUGCAAGCCAGACACUGCCCAAGACCCAGCACUGGACUCUGGUGAGUUCUUCCAGCUGUUGCCACCCCAGGAGGCUCUGGGAGCCCCUGGGAACCAUCCAGCUUGCUCUCUGUCUCUACAUUUCAGGGUGUGGGUUUCAGGGCAUUCACAACAUUCCUGCAACAGAAGAGUUUUGGGAACACCCCCAGCAGGAUGUGGGUGAUUUGAAUGUAUGUCAGAGAUGUGGUUGUAACUGAGAAAUCUUAAGCCUAGUGAAUUUUAUUCCACUUGACUUAAAUAAAGAGCACGUGAAAGAAGGGGAUCUGAGGACAUCUAUGAACAGGGCCCCGAGGGCAUGAACUUACUAGUGUUUAUAUGACUAGUGUUUAUCUGGGCCUGUCUAGUCUGGAGAACCUGACUCUGGUGUACCCAAGCUUUGCAGUGGCUGUAGAGGUUUGCUCUUUUGGAGGGAGAAGAUAAUUCAUUCCUCCAACACCUGAAUGAGGGUAGAUUAACCCACCUCCUUCAGCUGCAAUUUGGCAAAUUUCUCUUCUUUGAUUUAAUGCUCAACGGACAAAUUUCCUUUCUUCUUCUUCUUCUUCUUCUUCUUCUUCUUCUUCUUCUUCUUCUUCUUCUUCUUCUUCUUCUUCUUCCUCUUCUUCUUUUUUUCUCCUCUUCUUCUUCUUCUUCUCCUCCUUCUCCUUCUUCUCCUUCUUCUUUUCUCUUCCUUCUCCUCCUCCUUCCUCCUCCUCCUCUUCCUACUCUUCUUCCUCUUCCUCUCCUCCUCCUCUUCCUCCUCCUCUUCCUUCUUCUUCUUCUUUCUUUUUUUUUCGGUUUUGAGACAGGGUCUCCGUCACCCAGGCUGGAGUGCAGUGGCACGAUCUCGGCUCACUGCAACCUCCACCUCCUAGGCUCAAGCGAUCCUCCCACCUCAGCUUCCCAUGUGGCUGGGACCAAGGCGUGAGCUACCAUGCCCGGCUAAUUUUUGUAUUUUUUGUAGAGACAGGGUCUCUCCAUGUUGCUCAGGCUGGUCUUGAACUCCUGAGCUCAAGAGAUCCUCCUGUCUCAGGCUCCCAAAGUCCUGGGAUUACAAGCACGAGCCACCAUGCCCGGCCUCAACAGGCAACCUUCUGAUUAAUAAUUAGACCUCUGUGCCGGCCGUCGUGGCUGAUGCCUGUAAUUCCAGCACUUUGGAAGGCCAAGGCGGGUGGAUGGCUUGAGGUCGGGCGUUUGAGACCAGCCUGGCCAACACGGUGAAACCCCGUCUCUGCUAAAUAUACAAAAAUUAGCCUGGCAUGGUGGCGUAUGCCUGUAAUCCCAGCUACUUGGGAGGCUGAGGCACGAGAAUCGCUUGAACCCGGGAGGCAGAGGUUACAGUGAGCUGUCAUAUAUAAUGAAACAGUUUUACUAAACUUAGGAAGCAGUGACUUGGUGUCUCUAGAAAUUGCCUAACAUACACAUUCCAGGAUACAUUCUCUGUCAUCUGGAAUCUCCUCCCUUCCACAAACCCACGCUGUCUUAAGCACUAUUUUCCUAUUUGUUGUUGACCUAAUCUAGAAAAAAGCGGCCAUCACUCUUUCUCCCCCACUCAGUCCCUCAGUCCCGAAACACCCUUAUUCUCCGCACUUGUCACCCCACCCUCUGCUGCCCCCACCGCAGCGCGCAAACGCACACGAGUUUAAAGUUUAGGCUGUGAUGCUAUCCUCGCCCGCAGAUCACAGGACAGACAUUCUCGGGGACAACUUUGCGAGGCCAUGUGCUCGUCCCCCUUAGGAAGGAAGAGGGAGAAAUCCCUGCGGCUCGGUUUUGUUCCAAUGGUCUGCUCAGCGAGUGAUUCCCGUUUCCCCAAAGGCUGCCCCUCAUUAGCAUGAACGGGGACGCGGGUGUGGAGAAGGGGUUAGAGGAGAGAAAGCAAGCAAAAGCCCAGGCUCACUUUUAGAGCCUGGGAACCCUGUCUGCAAAAAUGACAGCUAGAGCUUUCUGGCUCCUCUGUUUAAUCGUCGGAUCAUCCCCCGAAGCUCCGGUGGAGAGAAAAAGUAAGAUCGGUGUAGUGCGGAGCCCUGGGAGCGGAGCGGGGAUCUGGGGAGGGGGCGCCCAGGCCUCAGCCGCCGGCCGACAACCGGGCCACCUUCCGUGAGGCCGCACACGCUCCCAC
rnacentral:lncRNA from 10 species